rnacentral:lncRNA from 1 species
CUUGUCCAGAGUGUCUGAAUGAUGUGAUUUUACUCAGAAUGACCUGGCCAGACUGAGUGUCCCAUACAUAGACCACAUUGGGCCUAACCCUUACUGCUUUUCACUGGCUGUGCUCAUGAGCAUUGUAUAACAUUUUAUCUGGAGGUACUUUUGGUAAUGCUGACUCUUAAUAAGAGCUUGGAUCAAUCGUACUUGAUCUCAGUUCUAAUUAUUGUCAUUCAUCAGCCUCAUUAGUUCCCUGAUGCUGAGAUGGUCUCUUCUACUGCUCCACACUUGUUACCAUAAGGUAAAUUCUGUUGGCGUCCUGAUCUCUCUGUGCGAUGAGGCUACACACUGUCUCUGGAGGACAGCUACCCUUGGACAAUCACUAUCCUGGGACUUCUUAUCAGCAAAAAUCCUAUAAGUAAUGUGUUCAUCCUCGUCACAACACAUCUAUCCCAAGGGGACUGCAGCUGCUGCUACUGAAGACCUAGGGCUCAGGUGGUGCCAGCAGAAUAACAAAAGAAUUGGCUUGAUGCUGCACUGCCAAAAACCUCUGUGGAUAACAUGUGAAGCUGGGAAGAAGGCAGCUGGAGAAAAGAAGAACAGUCAUUUUGGGCCAAUGAGAAACAUUUCAUUCAGCUGCAUCCUACUUAGUUUUGUUGCAUAGACAAAGCUUUUGUUUAAGCUUUUCCUUUCACUUUAUGUCAACUUUAAAUCAAAUUAAUGCUAAGAGGAAUAAAAUUCUAACUGAAAAAGUGAAAAGAUAAGGAGCCUUUUGGAAUUAAUGAAAGAAAGUGUUUCCAGAACAAGGACUUUAUGUUGCCAACAUCUGAGUGAAAUACUUUGAGGCUUUUGAAGUCCUUCAGUACACACAAGCACCCACAUUUCUUAUUGGCCAAGUACCAAAUUCAGCGAUGUCUUAAGAAUAUCCCAUCCUUCUGUGUGUGUUUAUUCUUUGUUACAUACAAGUGUCAAAACAACUAGGGGAAUUAUCACAGGCUAGUGGCAAGACAGAGAGUAAACUUGGUCAUAGGACUGUAAUGUAAUUAACGGCUGUGGACAAAUAUCUGGGAACAUAAGUUAAAUUAUCAUGUAGGGGCUACCAGAGAAAAGCAGAAAGCUUAACAUCAUCAGUUAAAUUGAAUAGCUCAAAUCACUUCACUGACAAACCUGGGAGAGCUAGCAGACACAAAGGGGAGGUAAGGCAAGAAAUAACAUCCAAAAGCCAGACCAAAGGUUCAGUACAGUCUCUGACCUAAUAUAAUGUGGAUUCUUUAUCUAUUAGUUUAAAAUCCUCCUGUUUUUUUUCUGGUCUCAUUCAUUUUCUUUCAUUUCUGGCUCUGGUAAUACCUGUCAAAGGGAACAUAACUCAAGUGACCUAAUUUUGGUGGUUAUAAGGACCGUAAUAGAAAGUAUUACUUUUAUUUCACACCAGUAGGUCAAAUUAAUUCUAUCAGCCAGAACUCAUGUUGGUGACCAGGCCCUGUGAAGAACCUCCUCGUGCUCCUUGGCUCUGGAUGUGCAAUUACAAUUGAAGAAGAAUUGCUUGGAGCCCCGGAACUGCAGAGGGCAUGGACAUGCUUCCAGCAUGCAGGGGUUUCCUAUCAUGUGCUGCAGAUCGGCAUUUUUUGGACAGAGUUUCUUUCUUAUCCACGUGCUUUGCAUUUCUAGAGAUUUCCAGACUUACAGCAUUCUCCUCUCCAGAAUAAACUUUUUCCAUUAAAAAAACUCCCACAAUUGAUAGAGCUGUCAUUAGG